rnacentral:rRNA from 1 species
AUUGAACGCUGGCGGCAGGCCUAACACAUGCAAGUCGAACGAGUGGCGGACGGGUGAGUAAUGUCUGGGAAACUGCCUGAUGGAGGGGGAUAACUAAUGGAAACGGUAGCUAAUACCGCAUACCAUCGGAUGUGCCCAGAUGGGAUGAGCUAGUAGGUGGGGUAACGGCUCACCUAGGCGACGCUCCCUAGCUGGUCUGAGAGGAUGACAGACCACACUGGAGCUGAGACACGGUCCAGACCCCGACGGGAGGCAUCAGUGGGGAAUAUUGCACAAUGGGCGCAAGCCGGAUGCAGCCAUGCCGCGUGUAUGAAGAAGGCCUUCGGGUUAUAAAGUACUUUCAGCGGGGAGGCGUUACCCGCAGAAGAAGCACCGGCUAACUCCGUGCCAGCAGCCGCGGUAAUAC